AAACAAGGUGGCGGCCACUACUUGGCGCAUAGCGAAAACACUGGGUAAACAUAGAGAAAAAACACCGGGUAAACGCCUGCAGGCAGGAUAAGUAGAAUCUCAAAACACAACUUUCGUGAUUUCUCGUUUAAACGCCCAACUUAUAACGAAUAUGCGCCUAACCCCCUUCUACCCCCAAAAUAUAUAAAGAUGGCAAACGCAAUAUUUAAGCACGCUUAGUCAUUUUCUUUUAUCGUAAACAAAAUACGUAUAUUUACUUUUAGUUCUUUUAAUUUCUUACUGGUUAUUUAACUUGGAUUCCUUAAAAUAUGAUACUGGAGAGAGACGACCUGACCUGAUGAUCUAAAAAAAAAGCGUCCAGGGUGCUAAAACGAGCAUUUAAGGUAUAUACAUUACCGUCGAAGGACUGGUGUUAGAAGACGGUCUUCAUAUUAGAUUACAAAGCGAAAAAUCCCAGAACGCGAGUUCCUUUAUUUGCUUUAAUAUAGUCAAUAAAAAACUGAAAUUUCAGAAUAUAGUAGAUAAAGUAUCGGUCUAUUAUAAUCCUGAGAUUCAAGGGCUUAGCUUAAAUAAUAGGCGAUUACAAGCUUUCGAGGUGAGACCAACUUAGCCCUGUAUAACUCUUGAACGACGGGAUGGCACCACAAUAACAUGGGGUACCCCUGAAAGUUUUCCAAAUAUGGGAUGGAUCACGCAACAAAUCUAUUGUUUUAAGUCUCUGGAGCAUAGUAAGAGGCCUUAACCUCCCCUCGAGGCGACUUUCCUUCCAUUUCGAAUUCAAGAAGAAUUCAAACGUGGAAAAUUAAAGUUCACAGAAAAGUCAGGCAAGGAAACUGAAACACCAAGCUCGCUGUCUCUGGACGAAGAUGUCAGGGAGAAAACUGCAGUAACACCUGAGGUCCAAAUCUAAAGACAUGGGAUACCCGUACACCGACAACUCACGGAUAGAUAGUCCGGGUCUCAAUAGAAGCAACUUGCACCUCAAAAAAGGACACACCACAAAAACUGAACAAGAAGAGAGGACCGCCGCUAAAGAUACUGGUUUCCAAAAUUUUGACAUUCAGGUCCAUACCAGGAAACAUUUGUCCGAGAUGAUGUUGGGAGGAUUAAGGAUGUCAUUCCCAAAGGAAAUCCUCUAAAAGACCUAGGUGUGAAGCAAACUAUCAAACAGUUGUGCAAACGGGCAAAAUGGCCAACUGCAAAUGAUGUACGGCUUGGGAUGAGGCCAUAUGAACCCAAGAAAGCCCCACCGUUUGCAGUAAAGGAUCUCCUCCGAAUGCCGAAUUACUGCUAUAAAAGUGUUGAGGGCCUUAGAGGAUUGUGGCUGUGGACCAUAACUAUUUUUUCAUUUGCCUGUUUCACCGUGGAGAAGAGCCUCUUCGCCUCAAGAUAAAGCAUAUAAAGCUACCUCCACAUUAUGAUGUGAAAUCUGGUAAAAUUCCUAACAGACAGCUGACAGCUGACAGACAGGCAGAAGGCAGACGCCCUGCAUCAGAAACAUCAAAAUGACAUUGCAUUUUGGCAUUUAAGAAACAUGGUCUGAGCACAACCGUAGAUUGCUAUGGCACAGAAGGUGCGAGUGUAGCCUUUGUUGGGCACGAGGGUUUAAAGCCUGCCAUGAACUUGGAAAAAUGGUUAAAAAAUGUUCGAGACCUUUAUGGAAGGUGAAACUAAGCAAUGGGAGGAAACAAAACAUGGAACCCCUGGUCCAUGUACCACCUCCUUGGACCACCCCUGAAACUGUUUAAAAGCUGAGUAAAAAUGAAUUUCUGUGAAUAAAUCUGGCACAUUAAGAGACCAUAAAUGUCUGUUACAGUCCAAUAUUUAAUAUAACAGCGGUCUAUGUGCCUUUAGCACCUUGGAACAUUAUCCACUGAUCAUCCUAAUGAAGGGUAUUAGAAGAAUAUAUGUUGUAGGGGUGUGAAGAAUUUUCCCACACGAACCCGUUCUCACAUAUCCUUUAUAAAGAGUUUGCUAUUUGUCUUUCUCUUCUCAAGUCAAACUUUUUCACUUCCUACAUAAUUGAUCUUGACACAAAAAAAUUCAUAUCAAAAUUUGUGUCCACUCUUUUGUCAAUUUAAUUUAAUUCAAAGCUUUAUUUCCAUUUACAAGUUUUAGUUUUUGAAUUUAUAGUAACAAAAAUGCUUGGAUCAUUUUCUAUGAUGCCAGAAGUUGUUGUUACUAUAAAUAACAACUGGUUUUCCAAAUGACCUUAACAUUAGUCGCAAAAAUGACUGACAAUGUUGAGGAAAAUGAUCAGUUGAACAAAUGAUCCAUACAAAUGCAAUAUCAAGGCAAGCUGUAUGAUACCAACCGUUUUUUUUUUGUUAUUUGUAGUGGCCCACAGGUAAUUUUCAAGAAUUGCUUACUGUUUCUAAACUUGUGUGCUAUCUGCUCGUUUUAUGUCCAUAAUGUUCAACGCUUGCAAUCGUAAUUUAAUUUUAUUGACCAUCAUUACAUAAAAACAAUAUAUAGAUUUAGGCACUGCCUAAAAGCGGAGUCAGCAUGACUUUUUUCAGCAUAAACUUGUGUAGAACCCCCCUUCCCUGCAAUUUCAUUAUGCAUCAUGUUCCACCACCCACAAAAAGGCACCAUAUGUAAAACAUAUAAAGAUUGCAUGUUCUAUAAAUAUUGCAAUUAUUAUUAAAAGGUGUCCUCCCAAUCCUCAUAGGGAAUACCUAGAACAAAUAUGUUUUUUUUUUGUUUUAGGUAAAAAAAAGUAUUUAUUGAUAUUACUAAGGAUAUCAUUAACUAAACUAUACUUGAUAGACAACUGAUACAGCAAAAUUAGCAAAAUAAAUUUAUGCUUUGAUUUACAGGGAAGGCUUUCAGGUAUGAAGGGAGGUCAUACUGUAUUUGUUUUAACAUGAGGAUCAAUUAAAGUUCUUCACACAAAAA